UGGCACAGGUCUCACCAUUCUCCUACAAGUUAGUGAUGUUGAAGGUCUGCAGAUUAUGAAAGAUGGCAACUGGAUUCCUGUCAAGCCCCUCCCAAAUGCCUUUGUUGUCAACAUUGGAGAUAUUUUAGAGGUAAAAAAAUGUGUUACAAUUGAAGCUGAGCAUAUAGAAACGAAUGAUAUAGCAGUAAUCAGGAGAAGUUACUAUAACAUAAAGAUACAAACAGAAAAUAUUAACUUUAAAGAUGAAUCUUGUCUAUUGACUUCCAUUUUUCAAUGAUGCAAGCUAAAGGACUUGUCUAAUGAUGUUAUUGUACAUUAAUUUGCAGAUCAUAACCAAUGGUGCAUACCGCAGCAUCCUCCAUCGUGCCACAGUGAACUGUAAAGAGAAAAGACUCUCGAUCGCCUCAUUCCAUUCUCCAAGGUUCGAUGGUGAAAUAUAUCCUGCACCUAGCUUGAUUAACGAGGAAACACCAGCAUUGUUUAGAAGAGUGACAGUUCAACAGUUCUUCAAGGGAUUAUUUUCUCGCGAACUUCGAGCCAAAUCUUACCUUGACACCCUAAGAAUAGAGAAUGGUGAAGCCUAAUUUUAGCUGCUGCUGCUCUUUUUUUAACCUUUUGAAGUGGAAAAUUUGGUGAAUAGCUGUAAGG
rnacentral:lncRNA from 1 species